CGGCGGACGGGUGAGUAAUGCCUAGGAAUCUGCCUGGUAGUGGGGGACAACGUUUCGAAAGGAACGCUAAUACCGCAUACGUCCUACGGGAGAAAGCAGGGGACCUUCGGGCCUUGCGCAUCAGAUGAGCCUAGGUCGGAUUAGCUAGUUGGUGAGGUAAUGGCUCACCAAGGCGACGAUCCGUAACUGGUCUGAGAGGAUGAUCAGUCACACUGGAACUGAGACACGGUCCAGACUCCUACGGGAGGCAGCAGCG
rnacentral:rRNA from 1 species